UCUGGGUGGUCUGUAGAUUUGUUUGUGCAGCUUGUACCUGCACAAAUCUCUGGACCUGGACCACUUAGUCUUUA
rnacentral:pre_miRNA from 1 species